UACAGAGGUCCCAAGCGUUGUUCGGAUUCAUUGGGCGUAAAGGGUGCGUAGGCGGCGCGGUAAGUCGGGUGUGAAAUCUCGGGGCUUAACUCCGAAACUGCAUUCGAUACUGCCGUGCUUGAGGACUGGAGAGGAGACUGGAAUUUACGGUGUAGCGGUGAAAUGCGUAGAUAUCGUAAGGAAGACCAGUGGCGAAGGCGGGUCUCUGGACAGUUCUGACGCUGAGGCACGAAGGCCAGGGGAGCAAACGGG
rnacentral:rRNA from 1 species